UACGUAGGUGGCGAGCGUUGUCCGGAAUUACUGGGUGUAAAGCGCGCGUAGGCGGGAGGCCAAGUCCGCUGUGAAAUCGCCCGGCUCAAUUGGGCGCGGUCGGUGGAAACUGGUCACCUGGAGGACGGUAGAGGCGAGUGGAAUUCCCGGUGUAGUGGUGAAAUGCGUAGAGAUCGGGAGGAACACCAGUGGCGAAGGCGGCUCGCUGGGCCGGCCCUGACGCUGAGGCGCGAAGGCGUGGGGAGCAAACAGG
rnacentral:rRNA from 1 species